rnacentral:rRNA from 1 species
GACGAACGCUGGCGGCGUGCUUAACACAUGCAAGUCGAACGGUAAGGCCCUUCGGGGUACACGAGUGGCGAACGGGUGAGUAACACGUGGGUGAUCUGCCCUGCACUUCGGGAUAAGCCUGGGAAACUGGGUCCAUACCGGAUAGGACCACUGCCUGCAUGGGUGGUGGUGGAAAGCUUUUGCGGUGUGGGAUGGGCCCGCGGCCGAUCAGCUUGUUGGUGGGGUGAUGGCCUACCAAGGCGACGACGGGGAGCCGGCCUGUGAGGGUGACCGGCCACACUGGGAGUGGGAUACGGCCCAGAAUCCUACGGGAGGCAGCAGUGGGGAAUAUUGCACAAUGGGCGCAAGCCUGAUGCAGCGACGCCGCGUGAGGGAUGACGGCCUUCGGGUUGUAAACCUCUUUCAGCACCGACGAAGCGCAAGUGACGGUAGGUGCAGAAGAAGGACCGGCCAACUACGUGCCAGCCGCCGCCGUAA